rnacentral:rRNA from 1 species
CCGCGGUAAUACGUAGGGACCAAGCGUUGUUCGGAUUUACUGGGCGUAAAGGGCGCGUAGGCGGCGCUGUAAGUCACUUGUGAAAUCUCCGGGCUUAACUCGGAACGGCCAAGUGAUACUGCAGUGCUAGAGUGCAGAAGGGGCAAUCGGAAUUCUUGGUGUAGCGGUGAAAUGCGUAGAUAUCAAGAGGAACACCUGAGGUGAAGACGGGUUGCUGGGCUGACACUGACGCUGAGGCGCGAAAGCCAGG